rnacentral:rRNA from 1 species
CGGCCGCGUCGACCCGAUAGCGAACAAGUACCGUGAGGGAAAGAUGAAAAGCACUUUGGAAAGGGAGUUAAAAGUACGUGAAAUUGUCGAAAGGGAAGCACUUGAAGUCAGCCAUGCUGCUUGAGACUCAGCCUGGCUUUUGCUUGGUGUAUUUCUCGGUAGCAAGCCAGCAUUGGUUUGUGUCGUCGGAGAAGCGUAUGGGGAAUGUGGCAUCCUCGGAUGUGUUAUAGCCCUGUGCAGGAUACGACGACGUAGACCAAGGAACGCAGUGUGCCCCUCUGGGCGGGUCUUCGGACACCUUCACACUUAGGAUGCUGGCGUAAUGGCUUUAAGUGGCCCGUCUUGUAACACGGACCAAGGAGUCUAACAUGUGUGCGAAGUUUCGGGUAGGACAAACCCAGUGAGCGUAAAUGAAAGUGAAUGGCAGGUGGGACUCCGCAAAGGAGCACCAUCGACCGCCUGAUGUUCUCGGAUGGGUACUGACGUAAGAGACAUAUAUAGGUUACGGGAACCCGAAAGUAGUAGGUAGAACUAGUCGACCUAGAAACGG